rnacentral:lncRNA from 1 species
GGCCAUCAGAAGCCAAACCUUGGAGAAACCUGAGUGAAGUCUUGCAGUGGCUAGGACCUGGGUAGGCAGAGAGGCUGGCAGGGCAGCCACCAGACGGCCAAGCCAGUAAAGGCCUGGAGGUGGGAAGAUUAUCUGGGCUAUAGUUUGUUCAGGAGAUAGAGCAGAAUGAGUCAGAGUGGGGUCAAAAUAGCAACGCCUUGAAAUCUCUGUCAAGUCUGAAGUUAAUGCAGCUGGUGGUGAGGCAACAUCGCAGGAUUUCGAGCAGCAAUUCUACGAGCUGAUUAUCUCAUUUUACGGAUAAAGAAACCGAGACCGAGAGAGGUGAAGUAAUCGCUGCCAGGUCACGCACCCGCCAACUGGCAGUGCCAGACUGGAAGUGAGGUCUGACUCCCAAGUCAGUGCUUGGGCCAGUUCCGGGGCGGCGGUGCCACCUUUGGCAGCUGGGGCCCCCAUCCCUGUGCUACUGCCUCUAGGACCGGAGUCCUCCCUGCCCCCGCCGCCCUCGCCGCGCCCGCCGGGUCCUCGGCGCAGGGUGCUCGGCCUGCGCUC